AAUGAAGCAAAAUCAGUGGAAACUAGGUGUUUAUUGUGCCAAUUUUGAAUCUUUCUAACAAAUUGGAGACUUCCCUUUAAUGUAUGUGUAGCUUAAAAAGUGUGUAACUCCUACAUUGCUGGUUUUUCAGCCAGAGGCUGGAGUUAGAGUUGAACCUUGUUUCUUUAUGACAACUGAGAAGUUUUACAUUUUCCGCAACACUGCUCAGCUGCUUUGCCUUCCCUAGAACCUUUCCUACUGAGAGGCACCCAGUGGCCUCUCACCGCUCACCUGUGGAAGGGGGGCUGUAGUAAUGCAGAAAGAAAGGCCGUGGCCACGCCCCCUGUUUAAGUCUUCCCAGCUGUCCUGACAAGGCCUCUGCUUGCUGCGCUCACUGUCUGGGAUCAAUGAAAAUCCUGGCUACAGAUUAUUUCAUUACAUAAUGUGUCACUUUUUUUUUUUCCGCUCAAAUGUUUGAUUAUUCUAUUUUAUGUAUAGGAAGAGUUGAAAGCCGCUGUUCAGAAGCACAGAGCUGUGUGGUAAAAUCAGCACAGAAGACUUGUAUGUGGAACGACUCAUGUUAAAUCACUUAGAACAGUAUUCUUUGUGAGAGAGCUGCGCCCACACACACAAGUGUGGUUACUGUAACACAGGACCAAGGGCUGGGGCACAGCUUGAGUAGAGCACUUACUUGCCUAUUGUGCAUGAGGCUCAAGGUUCAAUUUCUAGCACCAACAAAACAAACAAUUUAUGAAAAGGAAACUUUGUUGUGAUCUGUUUUUUCCAAGUUAGAAGUAUAACUAAGAUUGAGCAUCAUGUUAUAAUAUUUGGACUUUUGAUCUAUGUAUUCUGUCUGUGAGUAAAUAAUGGGCUUAUGAUGUUAAAGCAGGUAACAGUGGCAAGCUGGCAGAGACUGGGGUCAGACCUUUCUGAGGUCAUUCCAGCUUGACUAAAACAUACUCUGCCUGUGACACGGUAUAUUCUGAAGGGUAGCUGCUUUGUAACUUUUGAUCCUUUUUUAUUCUGAAAUUUAUAAAAGCAUGAUAUUGUAAAGUAACUGCUUUGAACUUACUUUGAAGUAAUGCUAUCCUCAUCUUUUCAGUAUCAGCCUUAAGGAUUUAUAGAACAAAACAUGAAAAAGUUACUGAAAAUUCUGCUUUCAACAGAGAUUCUAAAGAUAACUCAAUGUUUUGUUGUUCUGUCAAGAAUUCAAAUGUACUUAAUUAUGUAUUUCAAAAUUUUGUUUAUAUGUUUUAUUUUACAAUGGCCAGUAUAUUUAUGAAUAAAAUGUAUGGCCUACUUCCACCAUUUUAGCUAUAAAUGGAAAAGUCUUUUAAAAAUGCUAGGUGUUGAUUUAAGAACAAUGUAUGCAAAUUAAGUUUGCUGCUGCUGGUCUGAUGGAACUUCCACAAGCUUUCAGUCCUGAUUGAAAACAUGUCAACAUUUUGAAAUGUGUCAUCAACCAAGAAUUUUAUCUACUUACAUAUAUUUAUAACCUGUAAAAAGUAAAACAAAGAAUGUGUAACUAUUGUGAGCAAGAUAACUUUGCUCAUAUUAUUUGAUGUUUAUCAAAAGAAUAAAUGAUAAAGGAGUUGAAUCAAU
rnacentral:lncRNA from 1 species